AAAAGAGCAUAAUCUCACUGGAGAAUGAGUGAAUUAGGCUUUUAGUCCACUAAGUCGCUGAUACUAAAGGCAUUGCUUUGGGCAUAUGAUCCCUGAAAUUUAGAACUUUGAUUCUCUGUGCUUUGAUUGGAGACUAUUAAUUACCACUUAUCAUGAAACAGAUUGUCUUCUAGAAAAACAUGCUUUGGUUUACUUUUCCAAGAUCAUUAUCCAGUGAACAAAGUUACAUUGCAUUUGCUGUUUUUGCCAGGGAUCUCAUUGAAUCACCUGGCAGAAGAAUUCACCAAUCUAUGUCAUAAUCUUGUUAGGGAUUGUGGAAUCACAGCAGCACUGCCUCCUCUGUGACAUUAAUCCUUAGAACAAUUGCCAGUUGUUCAUUUCCAGGACCUGGGUAAGGCUGGCAGCAUAAUCACACAAUAGAAACUGCUUAGCCUACAAAAUAACAAGCUCCAAGAUUAGGAUCUAUUUGUAUUCAAUUAUCAGGUAUUUACAAAGCCUAUUUUCAGGUAGUCUAUGCUCCCAUAUCAUGCUAUGAAUAGCUAUCAAAGAGUAUACUAAUAACAUCAUGUUACCUGGGUCCUCUAAGUGCCAAACAAUCACAUAUGCUACAGCAAAAGCAAUCAAAAAUUGGCCUAACUUUCAAAAAACUAAACCUUGGACUAUUAAAAUGCCUCUAAGUACACUAACAAGAAACUUACUGUUAAUUUUUUUUUUUUGCAUACUGCAGAUUGAUUUUGAGGCCUUGUGUCUUGCCACUCAGGUACUCUAUUACUUGAGGCAUGCUUCCAACCCCUUUCAAUAUUGGUCAUUUUCAAAGUAGGUCUUACUUUACUCACUGACUGGCCUAGGAUGUGAUCUUCCUACUUAUGCUUUCCAACAUUAUUGGGAUCAAAAGUGCAUGCUACUGAAUUCAUCCACCAGUUGGUUGAGAUGAAGUCACAAGAUCACCUUUAUUGCCCGAAAUUGUUUCAAACAAAGAACCCUAGAUAUCUGCCUCCCAAAUAGCUAAGAUGACAUGAGUGAGCCAAUGUGUAGCUAAAGAAAAAUCUAUGUGUGUGCACGUGUGCACACGUGCACACGUGUAUGUGUGUGUGUGUGUGUGUGAAAAAGAGAGAGCACCAGUACUAAGAUUAGAACACCAGGCCUGUGCAUUGUCCCUUAGUUUUUCAUUCAAAUUAAUACUCUAAUAUUUAAGCCACAUCUCCAUGAAUGGCUUUUUAGUGGUUUAUUGGAGGUUAGAAUCUCCUGGACUCUCUUGUACAGGCUGGCUUUGAACCUUGAUCCUUGGAUCUCAGCUAGUAUUAAUAAACACAAGCCGCCCAUUAACAGCCCAGCAUUGACACAAUAAUUUUAGGUCAG